rnacentral:RNase_P_RNA from 1 species
GGUGCAGAUUGCCUUAUCGCUGUCCCGAUGUAAAAUCGGGAUGGAGGAAAGUCCGGACACCAUAGAGCAGCAUAGCGGCUAACGGCCGUCGUCCCGGUUUUUCAUCGGGGUAGGACUAGUGCAACAGAAAGGAUGUACAGGUAAUGCUGUAGUGAAAUCAUGUAAACUCUAUGCGGUGCAAUGCCAUGUAAACCUGUGCCUGAGGGCUGCUCGCCCGAUGCAGGAGGGUAGGCAGAUAGAGCCACACAGUAAUGUUUGGUCCAGAUAAAUGAUAGGGAUCCGCCACUGGUGGAUUACAGAAUCCGGCUUAUAGGUCUGCAAUGCUA